rnacentral:rRNA from 1 species
GACGAACGCUGGCGGCGUGCUUACACAUGCCAGUCGAACGGAAAGGCCCUGCUUGCAGGGUCCUCGAGUGGCGAACGGGUGAGUAACACGUGGGUGAUCUGCCCUGCACUUCGGGAUAAGCCUGGGAAACUGGGUCUAAUACCGGAUAGGAGCCAUUUUUAGUGUGAUGGUUGGAAAGUUUUUUCGGUGUAGGAUGAGCUCGCGGCCUAUCAGCUUGUUGGUGGGGUAAUGGCCUACCAAGGCGGCGACGGGUAGCCGGCCUGAGAGGGUGGACGGCCACAUUGGGACUGAGAUACGGCCCAGACUCCUACGGGAGGCAGCAGUGGGGAAUAUUGCACAAUGGGCGCAAGCCUGAUGCAGCGACGCCGCGUGGGGGAGGACGGCCUUCGGGUUGGAAACUCCUUUCGCUAGGGACGAAGCUUUUUGUGACGGUACCUAGAGAAGAAGCACCGGCUAACUACGUG